GAGCCAAUUUUUUAAAAUGUAAGGAGUAGAAAGUACAGAUAUUUCCAAGGGCGCAGAUAGCGUGUACGUCAGGGGUGUUCUGACGUACACAGAUUCGAAUGACCCUCAAUCCGUCCCCCCCACUUUUAUAAAAAAAA